UGUGUGUCUGACGUCAGAAAAUGUUAUAGAUUUGUCGUUCAAUGUGCAUACAAAAUACACAAUAAAUAUUCUAAUAUUAAAACAGUAAGUUAUGCAACAAUACAAAAGUUAAAUUAAGUAGGAAAAUGUCUUUCUUAAAGUAGGGACAUUUCAACUGCAUCAUUUAGCCAUUUUUUUUACCCAAGUCCUAGCUAUCUUUUGAAACCUGAAUAGUGCCAAUAUGUUUAAGAAGAAUUGGUAUUAAACAGCAGUAAUGAAUACCCUUUUUUCGUUUUUAUUCAAUUAUUCAACAUUUAUAUAAAUUAUAGAUAUAUUACAUAUUACACACAAAUAUCACAAGACAAUGUUUUAAGUAUAAAGACAUAUACAAUCAACACAAUAAUCAGAAAGUAAAUGUUAUGACGCCUUCAGUUUCUUGUACCGGAAUAUUAUUCUUUAAAAAGCGUUUCUCAAAAACAUAUCUCAUACAUCUUGCAUCACACAAAUAUUCAUACAGGUAAGUUAUAUAAUGUUAACAGUGUAUUUAAAUAGUUCAAUUAGAUCAACAUUUCUGUUUAAAUUUUUAGGUAAAUUCCUUCUUUUGAAGAUACAAUAUCUCGC
rnacentral:lncRNA from 1 species